CACCGUCGAGGUCACCAUCUCUUGAAGUUCAAUUGAUUCAGGUUAGUCUUGCUUACUUCUGUGGGUCUACUUACUUUGCCUUCUGGCGAUACGCUACUCGGUCGUAUACCUCGCAAAUCAAUUCGUUCGCAUCGUUGGCAUGACAGCAAAUGGCUAUUUAACUCAUGGUAUAAAAGAAUGUCCAGAUAUGCUCUAUUAUGGAUUACAUCCAUUCGAUUCCUUUGACUUGAAUAUGUGUUCGGAUGAUACUUACUUGGUAUAAUUGAACUUUAUCAAGAAGUUGCCCGUAAGGCGCUCAUAUAAUGCCGACUUGGUGUUAUUGAGCUGGUCCAUCUGUUUGAUCUGAUAACAUCGGCUUUGUGUUCUUAUUUUUUCAUGAAUUUUUACGCUCAGACGUUACUGACUUGGCAUUAGGUAGCUAACUCUGACUUCGUUGUCAUUGGACGUUCUGAUGACACCGACUUGGUGUCAUUGAACUCUGGGGUAGUUGCCAUAGGAUGUCUGCAGUGACCAGGUGCAUUGCAGCGCAGUGGUCAGCUAGCUGGUUCGGGGCAAUAACUAUCCACAGAUAAAAACAACGCGAGUUCGAUCAUCUGAUCGCCAAACCGGAUAUACCAUUCGAUCAGCUUUCAAGAUCGCGGAAGUAUCCCAUGAUCAAGGUUCCGGAGUUCAGAGGUUCGUUGUCAGAGGUCCGUUGACAUAACCUUACAUGGCCCUGACACAGUCCGAAGUGUCAUUGUGACUGAGUGGAUUGAUGCCUCGCUGACAUGAUUAGUUAUUCUUUUGGGUUUUUAACUGGUUGGUCACUGGUAGAGUUGCAUUAUGGCUGAGUUGUUGACAAGGUUCAGUGUACAAGAUCGGUUCAAUGUUUCACAGUUUGAGAUGUCAUUUAUUUGUGAGAGUACAACGUCGUUUACAUCUAUUCAGUUCUUACACAGGAAUUUCAAUAUUUCAGAGCAUGUGGCAGGUUUCCGGUAAGUCGAAUUCAGGUGAAGUAAUUCUCUCUGUGUUAGACCCUUUGCCCUAGUUGAUAGGUAAAUUUUGUAUUAAUUAGUCAUUAUUUUGGUUAACAUUGGACGGCAAUAUACUUUUAACUUUGCUUCGGUUCAAACAGACAGUCAUCUCAUCAGUCAGUUGAGGGUUGUGAUUUGUGAAGAUAAUCCCAGUCAACAUUGGUGAUACUCCCGUCCAGUUGGGAAGUAUUUGACAGAAUGAUAAACGCAUUUGUUAUUUGGCGGGUGAUGUGCUGGGCCAGAAAUGUGGUUUCCGUUUAUUGAGUAGGUCGUGCCGUCUGCCUACGUCCCUGAGAGAAGGGCGAGUGCUAGGUAGGACGUGCAGCCUACAGACGUCUCUUGGAGGAGGACGUCACCGGACCGUCUGCUCGCGGGGAGCAGGACGGCAGUCGCGGCCCGGACGCGUAGGAGCUGAGGAGAACUGGUGAUAGGGCCUGCCCCACCUAUCUACCAGAGUGAGUAGCAUGGCAGAGGGUGGUCCUCUGGGGGUCCAUGCCCACCGAACAUACACCGGCCGGGUAUGGGUGGAAUUCUCGGUCAGCUUACGCUCUAGGCAUAAGGGCUGGGCGUGCAGUGACGGGAGCAGCAGGUCACUGGCACAGGCGACAAUCCAUGCUGAGGAGGUGUUCCUGGCAUGUGAAAAACGGAACCAUUUGAGCGUGUAAGGCGGCAAACCCCACCGCAAAUACACUGCUACCGGAGUAUAAAGAGUCGAACACUCCGGCGACUACAGGAGAGAUGAGGCCAGCAGCGGACCCGACCAACAAUUUACUUGCUUCAGGAGGUGACCGCAGCAUCGAUAAGGAAGGUGGGUUGUUUUAUAUCCGAGAUAGGAUGACUCGGUUGACUUGUUUGGCACUGCUCAGGAGUUGCUGGAGCAGCAACCCGACUUACAGCUUAAUGACUUUGGAAGGUAGUCGCAGCAGUCGAUCGGAAAGGUAUGAUUCACAUUCAAGGUUAGAUGGUUAGAUGAUUAAUUGGCUGCUUGUUUUAUUGCACAGGUGUUGCAGAAGCAGCAAACCCGACCAACACCAUAAUUACUUUAGGAAUGGUACUUCAGGAAUUGACCAGUGUCGGAUAAUUGACCACAGUGUCGAUAAGACAGGUGUCUUAGGAAGAUGACUCGGUUGCUUUGCUUCGUUUGCACAGGUGUUGCAGAAGCAGCGAAACCGAUCGACGUUAACUUGUUUCAGAAGAUGACCGCAGCGUCGAUAAGAAAGGUGACUUGGUUGCUGUGCUUCGUUGCACAGAUGUUGCAAAAACAGCAAACCCGACAAACAGUUGAAAUGUGAGUAGACUUCAGGUGACUGCAGAGGGAAAGAUAGUGUUUAAGACGGAAAGUGGUUUUCGUCUCGUUUUAUCUCCAUUCCAUGGCAGGAGGUAGUACGACUCGAAUCCUUGCUUAGCUGCACUUUGCAAGUCAUAGCAAGUGCAAAACUCUUCAGGAGUCCAUCCCGUGGCUCAUCUCCAGAGUAGGAAGAUAGACAUAAAUGCUUCAUGUCCUGCUUCAUCGUGAAUUACUGCGUGGGUCUUGCAGUUGAGAUAACAAGGCAAAGAAAAAUAGUAAUUCGGCCGUCAGCAGUUACCAAGUGAGCUGACUGAAGCCGAAAGGUUUCGAUUUCAGCGCAGGUACGAGGCACGAGACGUCCCGAGGGAAGGUCUUGCCGGUAAAGCUAAACCGAGCAGAACCGCAACGGUAAGGGACAAUGCAAAAUUUACGAAAUAUUGGAUUGAUUUCGUUGUCUCGACUUUCGAGUAACACUUACGUUAAUGUUUUAUAGCAAGAUUCUGGAGUAGCAUCAACUGUGCAAACUGACCACACCUUUUCCUGUGGAACGAUUUAAAUAUGAACCCGAAAGCCUAUGUAGUUAGAACCUGCAAUCCUAUGUGAACUCGUUCAGCACUCAUGUGAAUCAUUUGGCAAUCCCAAAGCUGAACGAAGGGUCAACGUCAUAUUGAAUGGAAGGUGUACCAGUUACUGUGGUUGACUUUCGUUGUAUUGUCUGCAACAGACACCGCGCUGCCGAGUGGAGGUCCUGAUGGAUUUAUCCAACCCUGCAUGGAGCGCCACCGUCUCGUGAGUGACCAGCGACGGUGAUGUCGGGUCACGAACAAAAGUAAGAACAACCCUUGAGAUCAAAAGAUCAAAGCCAACGGGCAUGUGCUCACUUGUUAAAGUCAAGCAGACGAGUUUGCUACAAUCUGCUUCAGCGUAUGCAUGAAGGUCGUGAUAAGGGUCAGUUGGUGCUCGAGGUAUAAGUUGUGGUGAAGCAACAAUCUUGUGCAUUGCCUUGAAACUAGAUCCAGCGACAUGGAUCUGUGCAGACCAAAAGAUGCGCGGGCAUAGAACCGGCAUAGACAAUAGGACAAACUGCUCGUGUGCUGCGAUGCUCGCAUCGUCUGGUCCCUCCCAAUGUCCUCAGGUCAUUGGAGCCAGCAGCAGAGUGCGUCCUACACAGGUAUCUGAGAUACCAAAAGGUCUACAAGCACCACCAAUCUCUCGGCAUGUCAGAUUGACUUCAGCCUCAACACCUCACCCGAGCCCUUAGGACCAACAUCUCGAUGCUGAGUGCUGCCAGAAGUCGGAAACGCAUCCUUCUGUUCUAACGGAGGCAAACGAUCACUUGCCCGUCGGUUGUAACUUAUCUCCUCCAGGUGUGGCGGCCAUAAAGCAGACGGAUGGACCCAUCACGUUAUCACUCGUGAGUUUUUAAAGUCGAAGCCCGUAUUGGGAAUCGUUAACAAGCGUACCCUUUACAUUGCACGAAUGACGACAUGCUCCUUUGUAAAUCGUUUCCGGUAAACCACGAAAUUCCCAUCCCAGAAACAGUCCACAGGUCAGUAGCAAGGAGAUGUGGUUCCCAGAAUAAUAUAAAUGUAAAGGUGCAGUGAUUGCCUUUCUCCAAGAUUUUGUAUCCAGCAGCACUACCACGGUGCAAUGCUAAAGCUGAAGCUAAAGUCGUGUGAUCUUAUCUAUCAAGCUAUUAAGUGAUUAUGUAUUUUGCACUAUUGUCAUAUUUGUCGAAAGGCACAAAACAGUUAAAACAGUUAAAGACGCCGCAUUUGCCAUUGUCUACAAGUCAAACUCGGUUUGACCCAGUCAGACUGUAAGUCUAUUAUUACGUACGUAUACCCGUUCACCCCCUAAGGUUACAGUUCUUCGUUCGCCAUAAAAAUGGGAGGGAUGUGAGAAAUAUCGUUUCCAUCUGCUCUGAGCGGCUAAUCGGCGACACUCAUUAUUUCCAGCGACGGGAAGCGCCCCGUCAGUCGGCCCGGAGGCCAAGGCCGCCCAACCGGCGGCGGCUCGCUCGGCUCCUAUCUCGCUGACCUCCACCGUUCGCCCACACCAAAAAAACACUCGGCGAGGGUUAGAUCGUGAAAAAUGGGUUGACGACACACCAAGGGCAAACGACUGUCGGAGAGGUAUAAAACGGGCGCCAGACGCAGCAGCGACACUCACACAGUCCACACCACACUCAACAACAUCCACUCUCCAACACUCCACUCAACAUGCACAACCUGCCCGCCAUCAUGACGCUGACCAGGGAGCCGAUUGGCUCGGCUUGGCGGCAGCAGGCUGUUCUUUCGGCACUCUUCCGGCCUCUACAAUAUCGGCAUACUCGAGUGCGAUAGCAACUCGAGUGGGACUGAUUUUCGGUCUUCUUUCGACACUCUUCCGUCUUCUUCGAUAUCAGCCUGUGCUAAUGCAACGGCUAUUCGUGCAGGACUGAUUUUCGGCCUUGUCUCGUUUAAUGACUCGAUCGCUUCCUUUUGACAUUUUGGUUUCGACCUCAUCUUUCGGCUCAUUUCAAUAUAUCUACUUUUUGUU